rnacentral:rRNA from 1 species
UGGCGGACGGGUGAGUAACGCGUGGAAAACCUGCCGUAUACUGGGGGAUAACACUUAGAAAUAGGUGCUAAUACCGCAUAAGCGCACAGCUUCGCAUGAAGCGGUGUGAAAAACUCUGGUGGUAUACGAUGGUUCCGCGUCUGAUUAGCCAGUUGGUGGGGUAAUGGCCUACCAAGGCAACGAUCAGUAGCCGGCCUGAGAGGGUGAACGGCCACAUUGGGACUGAGACACGGCCCAAACUCCUACGGAAGGCAGCAG